AGUGAACGCUGGCGGCAGGCCUAACACAUGCAAGUCGAACGAGUGGCGGACGGGUGAGUAAUACAUGGGAAUCUACCCUGUGGAGGGGGAUAACGUCGGGAAACUGACGCUAAUACCGCAUACGAUUGGAUGAGCCGAUGUCGGAUUAGCUAGUUGGUGGGGUAAAGGCUCACCAAGGCGACGAUCCGUAGCUGGUCUGAGAGGAUGAUCAGCCACACUGGGACUGAGACACGGUCCAGACUCCUACGGGAGGCAGCAGUGGGGAAUAUUGGACAAUGGGCGCAAGCCUGAUCCAGCCAUACCGCGUGUGUGAAGAAGGCCUUCGGGUUGUAAAGCCCUUUUGUUGGGAAAGCGGUACCCAAAGAAUAAGCACCGGCUAACUUCGUGCCAGCCGCCGCGGUAAUUC
rnacentral:rRNA from 1 species